rnacentral:rRNA from 1 species
AUGCACGCUGGCGGCGUGCCUCAUCCCUGCAAGUCGCGCGAACAGACGAGGAGCUUGCUCCUCUGACGUUAGCGGCGGACGGGUGAGUAACACGUGGAUAACCUACCUAUAAGACUGGGAUAACUUCGGGAAACCGGAGCUAAUACCGGAUAAUAUAUUGAACCGCAUGGUUCAAUAGUGAAAGACGGUUUUGCUGUCACUUAUAGAUGGAUCCGCGCCGCAUUAGCUAGUUGGUAAGGUAACGGCUUACCAAGGCAACGAUGCGUAGCCGACCUGAGAGGGUGAUCGGCCACACUGGAACUGAGACACGGUCCAGACUCCUACGGGAGGCAGCAGUAGGGAAUCUUCCGCAAUGGGCGAAAGCCUGACGGAGCAACGCCGCGUGAGUGAUGAAGGUCUUCGGAUCGUAAAACUCUGUUAUUAGGGAAGAACAAAUGUGUAAGUAACUAGGCACGUCUUGACGGUACCUAAUCAGAAAGCCACGGCUAACUACGUG